AUUGAACGCUGGCGGCAUGCCUUACACAUGCAAGUCGAACGGCAGCACGGGUGCUUGCACCUGGUGGCGAGUGGCGAACGGGUGAGUAAUACAUCGGAACAUGUCCUGUAGUGGGGGAUAGCCCUGCGAAAGCCGGAUUAAUACCGCAUACGAUCUACGGAUGAAAGCGGGGGCCCUUCGGGCCUCGCGCUAUAGGGUUGGCCGAUGGCUGAUUAGCUAGUUGGUGGGGUAAAGGCCUACCAAGGCGACGAUCAGUAGCUGGUCUGAGAGGACGACCAGCCACACUGGGACUGAGACACGGCCCAGACUCCUACGGGAGGCAGCAGUGGGGAAUUUUGGACAAUGGGCGAAAGCCUGAUCCAGCAAUGCCGCGUGUGUGAAGAAGGCCUUCGGGUUGUAAAGCACUUUUGUCCGGAAAGAAAUCCUUGGCCCUAAUACGGUCGGGGGAUGACGGUACCGGAAGGAUAAGCACCGGCUAACUACGUG
rnacentral:rRNA from 1 species